AGUGGCGCACUCGCUUGACUCCGUCAUACGUCAGUUUCGACCCUCGGAAAACAGGGUCGUCGUUUUCCCAUCGGCGACGUCGACGAUCUUCACUGACACUUUUUCCCUAGAGGUCGUCGGGCCCGACAGAGUCGCCUCGGAACCUCGCGUGUGUCGCACUUACCGUUCUUUUCUCCCUUUGUUGCCCUUUACUCAUGGGAAUCGAUAGAUGAGGAAACCGUCGCUGGCAGCGCCCGUGAAACAAGUGGUGCCCCGUAUUUCGUGCUGGGAUACAAGAUUCCCUGUGUUUCGGCGUUCUUGGCACCAAAUUCUUAUUAUGUGCGGGAUGUGUGACGUGUUCUACUCACUGGCUACCUAACGCUGCCUGUCUUCAAAAGACUAUGUCGUGGCUCAGGGUCACCGUGACUACAGCGGAGCAGAGAGGCUGCGCUGGUGGAUGAAGAUAAACGGAGAAGGUUGCCCUCUGUGCAAUCUCGCUCUCAUCCAGCUGCAAGAGUCAUCUGAUGCUGACGAGGUUAAUUCUCAACGAACCUGCUGAUUCGGGCCAGGUCGAAUCAGACCGCAAUGGAAAUGGUAUCGGGGGUAUGUGUCCUGCCGUUUAUCACAUGGAUGGGUACGGCUUUGAUACCGGCGUCACUACCUCAUUUAUGGCGGCGACGUCGGCAGCGGCAACGUCGACGAACGCGUCCGGCUACACUGGGACAGGUGUGGUCGGAGGUAAAGAGGUCCGUUAUGCACCUUUCUCCCAAAUUCUUCCACCCUUACCAACUUCUUUCCCGCCCCCUCUCCCGCCACCUCCUACAUCAUCAUCCCCGCCCCCGCCCCCGCCGCCACCACCUUUCCUACCGCUGCAGAUGCAGCAGCGUGCCUACUCCCGAUCCAUGACCUCGCUGCCCCCUGAGCCCUUCAUGAUCAUGCGGUCCAAGGCCCUAAACCGAAGGGUGUCAAUCAAUGUUGGAGGUGUUAAGCACGAGGUUCUUUGGCGGACCCUCGAGCGCCUACCUCAUACUCGUCUUGGCCGCCUCCGAGAAUGCAACACCCACGAAGCCAUCACCGAGCUGUGUGAUGAUUACUCUCUUGUCGACAAUGAGUAUUUCUUCGACCGACAUCCCAAGUCUUUCAGUUCCAUCCUCAACUUCUACCGUACUGGAAAGCUUCAUUUGGUCGACGAGAUGUGCGUCUUGGCCUUCAGUGACGACCUGGAGUAUUGGGGCGUCGAUGAGCUUUACUUGGAAAGUUGCUGCCAACAUAAAUAUCAUCAGCGGAAGGAACAUGUUCAUGAGGAGAUGAGAAAAGAGGCCGAAUCUCUCAGGCAGCGGGAGGAGGAGGAGUUUGGCGAGGGCAAAUGUGCCCAAUAUCAAAAGUGGCUGUGGGACUUGCUCGAGAAACCGACUACGUCCAUCGCCGCCAGGGUGAUAGCUGUGAUAUCAAUACUCUUUAUAGUGCUAUCAACGAUCGCACUUACUCUCAACACCAUUCCUAGUAUGCAAGUAUACGAUGAGCAGGGUACCCUUCAAGAUAAUCCGCAACUCGCGAUGGUGGAAGCUGUGUGCAUCACUUGGUUCACUUUGGAGUAUGUGCUGAGGUUCAGCGCCUCGCCGGAUAAGUGGAAGUUCUUCAAGGGCGGACUGAACGUGAUAGAUCUGCUGGCAAUUAUGCCUUACUUCGUGUCCCUCUUCCUAGUAGAGACCAACAAGAACGCCACCGACCAGUUCCAAGAUGUGCGCCGGGUCGUGCAGAUCUUCCGGAUCAUGAGGAUCCUGCGAAUCCUGAAGCUGGCUCGCCAUUCGACAGGACUUCAGAGCUUGGGCUUUACGCUCCGCAAUUCCUACAAGGAGUUGGGCCUGCUCAUGUUGUUCCUGGCAAUGGGGGUGCUGAUCUUCUCUAGCCUGGCGUAUUUCGCUGAGAAGGAUGAGCAAGGCACGAAAUUCAUAAGCAUUCCGGAGACGUUCUGGUGGGCAGGAAUCACCAUGACGACCGUUGGGUAUGGUGACAUUUACCCCACGACUCCUCUUGGCAAAAUGAUUGGCAGUGUGUGUUGCAUAUGUGGUGUCCUGGUAAUCGCGUUACCUAUUCCUAUUAUCGUCAAUAAUUUUGCCGAGUUCUACAAGAACCAGAUGAGGCGAGAAAAGGCGCUCAAGCGUCGCGAAGCGCUCGAAAGGGCCAAGAGAGAGGGCAGCAUCGUGUCCUUUCAUCAUAUCAAUCUGAGGGACGCCUUCGCCAAGAGCAUGGACCUCAUCGACGUCAUCGUCGACACUGGUCACAACAUGUCUGGUGUCGAUGGUAACAGUACAGAAGGAGAGUCUGGCUGUGAUCGAGGUCCGGCACAAACGGGUGCUGGAUGUUAUAGAAAUUACGAACAUUACGUUAGCUUAUCGAACAAACGUACAAGCACUUCCACUUGCUUCCCGACGUUGCCGAAUGACCUUUCAACCACACCGGAUAGUCCUAAUCGGCGGCUGCUUGAUUUCGCCCAAAACAUAUCUAGCAACCAGAGUGAGCAUUACUUCCAUGAUCAAGUAUCAGCGCAGCAAUUCAACCAAGGCAAUACUACCCCUAGCGAUGAAGACAAAAAAGACGGCAGAAAAAUCGAGCAGAAAAUCGAUGAAUUGCCUAGUGAAUUCGAGUGUUGCUUUUGUACGACUAAGGAAUAUAAAGAACACCGAGAUGCAGAAGAUAUCAUGCCUCUUGCAACGAGUGACUUCAAGACUCCUAUUUGUCAAGAAUUGAGAUCUAUACGAGGAAGUAGCCUGGAAAACACUGGCUUCGGUGAAUUACAAACGUCCCCUGUACAAAUCGUACAGCCGAAUGUGUACAGUAGUAAAAAUAAUUACAACGAACGAGGCAGCGUGGACAGUUCAGAUACUUACGCUAGCUGUCAGACGCAUCCAUUUUAUUCUCAAAACGACCUCACUGAGGAGGCGGACAGUAAUUUGUAUGUAAAUCCACUUGAGGGUACGGAGAAAUGCAGUGGUAUGCGGGUAAAGAAGUCUGCAUCUGGGGAAGUAGGACAUUUCACUCUGGAUGUAUCUCCAAGUAUGGAAUCGCUCAAGGAAAUUAAUUCGUCGAACAAAGGUAGUAAAGUCAACAUAAAUGAGGCAGUUCCAAAGCACAGGAAGACACGCACUCAACAGAGUGUAAAGCCACGAGCUCAAUUAUCUAGCAAUCAAGAUCACGCAGGAUGUAUGAGUACAUCAAUAAGGGCGGAAGCAAAGGAGGACAACAAUAAUCUCUAUAAUGGCUUGCGAGCCGGGAGACCCCCAGCGCCAGUGAAUAGUCUUUCUUCGGCAACGAGAAUUAUUAAUCAUCAUCUAUUCGGGACGAUUAGUGGUUCCAGGCAUAAUACUGGAACAACGGCUGGAAGUAAGCUGUCAUUGUCCGCCGAUUCGAUAGAAAGCGAGGCAACCCCAAUUUUAGAACGGAACCGCAAAUCGAAAUCUAUCCUUAAGAAGUCCGAAAGCAGCAAUAACUAUUAUAGCCAGGCCAGUGACUCUGAUACCGAGAAGCUCAUCAGCGACAAUACAUCUGUGACGACCGUGUGUGACAACGAAGCAGUUAGCAGCGACGCAUUCCGAAACGUCUAUGGUACGCGAUUGGAACAUCCUGUUUCGCCGCUAUUGUCUAGACAAGUUAUUGAGUCGAUAUUUCGAACUAAUAAUAAUGUUAGAAAACGUUGUACAACAGAUCCCAGUGAAGAAAAAAAUUGCCUAUCCAAGUUACCUAAAUCACUGUUCGAAGACGAGCUUGAAGAAGAAAAACAGUAUUCUGGCGAGGUGGCUGCAGAGAACAAAAAUAACGGCGAGGACCGAUCUCAGAAAACGAAGCGCUUUACGGAAGCAGGAAAUCCAUCAGUACUAAUGAGCACUCCCCGUCCUUACAAAAGUGCGAAGAAGUCAACCCGUAAUGAGAAACGAAAUAUUCCAGCCACCAACUCCAAUUUGCACAGCUCUACGACCUUAAGUUCUGACUCCAAUUGUCUUCCCCGAGAAUAUCAUUUUUCGUAGCACCAGAAGUCAAAAUUCACCUAAUUCAGAAACAGAGACCGAUGUAAUUGAACAGUUGGUUGUGCCACUAUAAAAACAUCCUAAGGGUCACAUGCAGGAGAAAAUAUCCACGUGGAACUACACAUGAAAAUUCUGGUGAUAUUUUUGAAGACUUCACGCAGAAUUAAAUCUUAUUUUCAAUUGCAAGAUCUCGUUUCAUAUGUCUAUAGACGUCAUUUUGAGAGUUUUCUGGAUGAACCAUGAAGAAGAAAAAUUGGUAAAAACCCAAAUCGGACGGGACAAAUAAUGGAAUAUCCCGCAGAUGUCCCAUAUCGAUGGCGUUACAUAAACACCUCGUAUCUGCAAAUUUUUUAAAUUUUACAGUAGAAACAAAAAACGUCUCAUUUCCCACAGCUACCUGAAUAAAUAUAAGGUUCUUAUUUAGGCCCGUAGUGGGCAGAAAAUGCAAGUUCCGCCAUUUAUCAAAAUUUACGAUGAUAGCAUCCGAGGUUUUCAUGUCAAAAGCCAAAAACAACAUUUUCAACCAAAAAUGAAGAUGCGAGUUUUUCAUAUAACGCCAUCGACAUGCUGUGAUGGAUGGAUGAAUUCACGUGACUGUUACGUAUAUUUUUCCGAUUUUUCCAUGUGGAUAUUUUUGCCUGGGCGGUAAUGUAACCGAAAUGACAGAUAAUCCAUAUUGUAUAAAAUAUAUCUACAUUAGAAUGGCUGUGUCUUAUGGUUUUAGUGGUUUUAAGAAAUCGAAUAAUUUCAAUCAAAGCGCCUUAAAUACAUUACGUGAUUUUAAAUGGCUUAUUUGCAAAAAAUCGAAUCUUAGAAAGAUAUAGCGUUAAUAGAAGAAUCCAUGUAGGAUCUUGCAUUAGAAUAUAGACACUAUUAUGGUUUCACUUUAUCCUACUUAAUGAUUUUAACAUGACUUUAUGACAUUCAAACUAAUUUCAUUUUUUAAGUUUUGAUUCAGUAUUAUUUGAGGUUCAUAUUUAUUUCACUUCAGGUAAAAACAUUUCAUAAAUGCCGAAUAUAGCCUACUCUCAUUGUAUUCAUAAUUAAGGUAGUAUUUCGUUUAAAUCAUGUGAAAUUUUAUAAUUUUGUAUAAGUUAAACUUAUUAUAAUAUACCAAUCCCAUUUGGAUUUGUAAAAGCAGACCUGGUAAGAAGGCUUGCAUUCAAAAUGACUAAAAAUAUUGCAUCGUUUACAAUUCUUGAAUCUGCAUUUUUUCGGAAUCUAUGAAAUAAGGUAUGAAAUAACAAAAAUUGAAUAGAUGUCAGUAGGUAAAACUUACUAUCAAAUAAAAUUUUUUAAAUUAUUUGUAUUAUACGUGCAUAAAUACCCUUAAAAUAUGAAAUUUAAAAGUACUAAUAAGAUUGCAAUUAAUCCAUUACCCUGUUGGUAACUUUUACUUUAUUUAAAUUCUAUCACUGGAAAAUAAAAUAAAUCGUGAUAAUAUGUAAAAUAACUUUUCAUAGCGUCUCUACUGAAACUUCGAGUUUCGAUAC